rnacentral:rRNA from 1 species
ACGCUGGCGGCAGGCCUAACACAUGCAAGUCGAGCGGUAGAGAGAAGCUUGCUUCUCUUGAGAGCGGCGGACGGGUGAGUAAUGCCUAGGAAUCUGCCUGGUAGUGGGGGAUAACGUUCGGAAACGGACGCUAAUACCGCAUACGUCCUACGGGAGAAAGCAGGGGACCUUCGGGCCCUUGCGCUAUCAGAUGAGCCUAGGUCGGAUUAGCUAGUUGGUGAGGUAAUGGCUCACCAAGGCGACGAUCCGUAACUGGUCUGAGAGGAUGAUCAGUCACACUGGAACUGAGACACGGUCCAGACUCCUACGGGAGGCAGCAGUGGGGAAUAUUGGACAAUGGGCGAAAGCCUGAUCCAGCCAUGCCGCGUGUGUGAAGAAGGUCUUCGGAUUGUAAAGCACUUUAAGUUGGGAGGAAGGGCAGUUACCUAGUACGUGAUUGUUUUGACGUUACCGACAGAAUAAGCACCGGCUAACUCUGUGCCAGCAGCCGCGGUAAUACAGAGGGUGCAAGCGUUAAUCGGAAUUACUGGGCGUAAAGCGCGCGUAGGUGGUUUGUUAAGUUGGAUGUGAAAUCCCCGGGCUCAACCUGGGAACUGCAUUCAAAACUGACUGACUAGAGUAUGGUAGAGGGUGGUGGAAUUUCCUGUGUAGCGGUGAAAUGCGUAGAUAUAGGAAGGAACACCAGUGGCGAAGGCGACCACCUGGACUGAUACUGACACUGAGGUGCGAAAGCGUGGGGAGCAAAC